AGUCAAUGAACUUGUAUAAGUAUAUAUUUUGAAAAUAUAAAAAAAGAUUAAUAUAUCUUAUUGACUU
rnacentral:tRNA from 2 species